UAAUGUAAAGAGAAUUUUAGCCACGUGU
rnacentral:piRNA from 1 species